rnacentral:rRNA from 1 species
GAUGAACGCUGGCGGCGUGCCUAAUACAUGCAAGUCGAACGGACGGUCGUAAGACCGUUAGUGGCGAACGGGUGAGUAACGCGUUGGUGACCUGCCCUAUAGUGGGGGAUACCAGACCGAAAGGUCUGCUAAUACCGCAUGAGUUCUCGGGAGAUUAGAAGCCUGGGAAGAAAGCCGAAAGGCGCUAAAGGAGGGGCCUGCGUCCCAUCAGCUAGUUGGUAAGGUAACGGCUUACCAAGGCGAUGACGGGUAGGGGACCUGAGAGGGUGACCCCCCACAAUGGAACUGAAACACGGUCCAUACACCUACGGGUGGCUG